AGACCAUAUCAAUUACCGACAAGAUCGAAUGCUAACACAGUGCGGCGCUGAUUAUGUGCCAUGCUAGUCAAUUGAACGAAAAAAUCGUGUGAAUAUGUGAAAAAGUGCCAUUACCGAGCCUGUUAUACCAUGGUCGAGAGUAUACCUCUGCAACUCAAUGGACAAGUUUAUCACGAAUCGCGUCACAACUCGUACCGAGCGAGCGAUGGGGACGCCGGUCCGUCGGAGAGUACGCCGCUCGUGCGGUUCCCCGCCAGCAGCCUGCCACGCCGGCAGCCGGCUACCACGGCCGUCGUCGGCCUGCUGUUGCUCGUCCUGCUCACCGGAGUCAUUAUAGGCAUCUAUCUGCUCGUCGUACAGAACUCUUCAGGUAAACCUAUCAUGAUUAUGCUUUGUGCGUCGAAAUGUAGAUAUACUUCCCCGCCAGUAGCCUGCCACGCCGGCAGCCGGUUACCACGGCCGUCGUCGGCCUGCUCCUGCUCGUCCUGCUCACCGGAGUCAUUAUAGGCAUUUAUCUGCUCGUCGUACAGAACUCUUCAGGUAAACCUAUCAUGAUUAUGCUUUGUGCGUCGAAAUGUAGAUAUACUUCCCCGCCAGUAGCCUGCCGCGACGCCGGCCAGCCACCACUUCCGUCGUCGGCCUGCUGUUGCUCAUCCUGCUCACCGGAGUAAUUAUAGGAAUGUAUCUGCUCGUCGUACAGAACUCUUCAGAAAACAUUCUUCCUUCCGUUGAGGCGCCCCGGAUGCUCCGGAUUUUU